rnacentral:sRNA from 1 species
GAACAGCUGCGCGCCCGCCUAGCGCUGCGAACGCGGAGUGAGAGGCGCUUCAGAGACUGGAGGGACGGACCUGCAGGAGCCAGGGCUGCCCGCCGAGCUGCAGUUGCCGCUACUGCCGCUGUCAGCGCCCGACUGAAGAGUGACAGCCGCAAAAGCAGGAGUGAGCACCGAACCCCGCGCUUCUACCUAACAGGUGCAUGCACCGAUCUGGUGAGUGGACCCAGCUCGCAAGAUCUCAGGUAACCAUUCAUGAGCCUGAGGCUGUGAGAAAUGCUCGCUGUGCAAAGGGGAACUCUCACCAGAUUUUCUGAAGCUGUUCUAGAAAUACACUUUUCGGAUUGAUUCAGCAUUACCAGCUUAUCCAACAAAAGUAUUAACAUAUACAUUAACAACGUCGAAAGUAGCCUACUUUAAGAGAAAAUAUGCAGAAGAAGAAGAUUUACAUCAAGAUUACCAUGGGUAUUUUCCAAAACACCUGAUAUUACCUGAGGACAGAACUUGCAUUCUCAAACUUUCUCUGGAGAAGCUCAGGUUUCUUGAAGACCCAGAAACCUACUUAAGAAGGUCUGUGUUAAUUAACAAUUUGCUGAGGAAGAUACAUCUAGAGACGGAGAAAGAGAGCUAUGAAUACUUUAAAGAAGCUCCCUGUUAUAAGACUGCAUAUUCUGAUACAAGAAAACGGCUGAAGUUUAUGGUACAGGAAUGCUGUUCUCAGUCUCUCUAUUAUGAAGAGCUGCAUUCGUAUCAUAUUGUGCCUUAUGCUUCGGAGAAUGCCAUUUAUGAAAUGGGCUACACUAGCAGCCACUUGGAGCAAAAUUCUCAGUUGCUUAUUUAUAAAAUGAAUUAAAGUAACUGUUAAGUCCA